rnacentral:lncRNA from 1 species
AAAAAAGACAAGCUUAGUGUAUCGCCCUCUCUUCAUCAUCUUAAGCUCAUCUUGGGCGGCCAUUGGCAUGAAUUAUUUCUGGUUAAAACAAAUAGAGGGGAAGAGGGAUUGAUUGUAAUCGUAGCAUCAACAAGUAAUUGAGGGAAUCAAUAAUCGAUAAUAUUGACAGAUUUGAAGAGGGGAAGAUCGAUUGGUUUGUAGAACAGUUCAGCUGGAAGAAUUGAUUGAAGCUAGGCGAGGAAGCAACUCAUCCACCAUGCCCCACCGUGCGAGAAAAAUUAAUCGGUAAGUGAAUUCUAAAUUAAUAAAACUUUGAAACUAAUUUGUUGUCAUUUUUGAAUUGGCAUUGGUAUUGGUAUUGCAUGCCACAGUCAGUUAAAGCCAAGAAAUGAUUUUAAGCCAAAUUGAUAACUGUAAUUGUAAAUAAAUUAGGAUCGUGUUUUUUCAUUUAUAUUGUUUCCACAAGAUCCAUUCUCACGUUUAUAUUCAGAAUCACUGUCAACAUCAAUUUUGAGAAUCAAUUUUUGCAUAAGGUUUAAAUUAGGUUUAUAUUACUGUCAAUGUUAUAUUAAUGUAAGCCUUACGCUUAUAUUAAAUUGUUUAUAUAAUAAGUCUAAUAGUAUACAUUUUGAGUAAUUAAGUAAAAGGUUAUAUUACUGUUAAUGAGACGCUUAACAGAUGACAGAAAAUCUUGAUAUCAUGGAACAUGUUAGCAGAUAGGAUGAAUCAUGUUAAUUGGCAAUUAAAAUCCAAAUUCUGUCAGUUAAAGCCAAAAAAUGAAACCAAAAAUUUUAUAGUAACUAAACAUGCAAGUUUUGAAAUUACACUAAAACCUUAGUGAUUUUUCAGAAUCAAUUUUCAGAAUUAAUUUUUGUGUAAGGUUUAUAUUAAGAAACAGAACCAGUAGACAUUACAGGCUCACAUUACUGUUAAUGUGAGGUUUAUAUUAGUAACUAAACAUGCAAAAAAGAAACCAAAAUUUUUUAGUAACUAAACAUGCAAGUAUUCAAAUUUUUUAUUUUUUUAGUUUUGAAGGGGUGUUGGAUUUUAAGCAAUAUGUUAACUUUCAUUUCAAGACUAAUAUGCUUAUAUUAAUUUUAUUAAGUAUCAAUUUUACGACUAAUAACAACAUCCAUAUACUCUAGCCUCCUAGUUGGCAUUUUAAGAAAUCAUUAAGUAUAAAUUUUAUUAAGUGAGCAUUUUUCAGUAAGAGUAGAAGGAGUUAAUCUAAUAAACUGCUUCAUGGGUUGCAGAGCUACAAACCCUUUGGACCGGACAAAGGAAGAUGAAAGCAAUAGUAGUAAUUGCAUUGACAUGCCAAUUCAAUAUAAUGUUGGAAGAAGGCAUGAGUCACGAACAUCCUUAAACUCGAAAGAGGUAAGAGUUAGAUUCAUAAUAUUAUAGUUGGUCAAUUCAUUAGAGGCACUAAAUGCUAAUAUUCGUAAAUUUAAUUGUAUGAUAUAGAGUCCAAAUGUGCGAUGUCAGUCUUUAGCGUUUAGGGCAUUAGUAAAUGAAAUGACUAAUUGUUGACGCGUGUUUUUAUGACCCCGCCUGAUCCAAUGAUGAUACGAGGAUGUGGAAUGAAUGGGUUAAUGCUAUCUAGAAGUCUUUUAAUCCAAGGAUUUAAAUUAAAAAUGAUGUUGCAGUUGCGUCACGCAGCUAUAGCUGCGUCACGUAGCUAUAUUAGACUACAUGACGUUUUUGUAUUAAACGACAUGUAGUUCUGGUACAACAAGUAAGCUUCGUCACGCAGCUAUGCUCUGGGACUUACUUCUAUAAAUAGAUCGUUUUCUCACGUUUGAGACAAGAGGGGAAUGAUUUGGAAAACCCCUAAAAACAUAUUGGGCGGCCACAUUCUCCUGCAGAGGCUCUUUUGAGUUCUUUAGAAGGAAAUUAGCCAUUAGAUAUCAAUUUUAGGUGAAUUAAAUCAAAAAAAAAAAGAGAGAAAAAUUCAAAAGACAAAAGAAAACGAAUUUGAAUCGAAUCCUUGGAAACAAAGCUUCUGAAGACCUUAACUAUCACUUGUUAAGACAUUCAAUCCGUUUACAAUCCUCAAUCUGAGGAUUAGGUAAUCUCUUUACCAUUCGUUGUAUUUUUUUUUUUUUUACUUAUUUUUGCGAUUUUAGUAAUUUAAGCUUCAUUAAAUUAUAUUAUGUUCAUAUUUGGCCAUUUUAUGAGUUUUUGAAUCAUAUUUAGAUAAAAAAAAUGAUCUCAAUAAAUCGUUUGAAAACAAGCUUGGGCCAGAACAGCCGCAUCACGCAACUGUUCAUACAAGAACAGCUGUGUCACGCAACUGUUCAUCCAAGAACAGUUCCGUCACGUAACUGUUAGUUGUGUGACGCAACUGUUUUAAGCUUCCAGAGAUGAUUUUCAUUUUUCAACAGAUCCAUCACGAGGUAUUGUGAACCCUCCCCCGAAGGCAAAAUUAUGCUAGAAUGAGGUAUGCUCACAUGUGUGUUUUAUGAAGUCGCCACCUAGUUUAUUUUUAUAAGGGAAAACUAAGAAAGAACCCUAAAUGACUCCAAUUUUAAUUAACCAAGUCUAGAUUAAUUACCCCAAAGUUUAAGGCACAAUCUACGAACCCGAGGUGGAUCCCGAGACUAUGUCAUGCUGAUUAACUAACCGAAGUGUAAAUGCCCUUCCAAGGUAAAUUGAUGCA